rnacentral:lncRNA from 1 species
GACAGGAUUCUCAUGACAGUGCAGAAUCCUCUCCCUCUGCAGACCAUUGCCUCCAAUUGCUUCCUGCAGCAGCCAGAGGGAAUUCCAGCACCUGGGAGCCUGCCCAGGUCUGUGCCUUGGGGAGCAUCUGGAAGAGGUGGAUAGACAGCUCUCCCCACGCUCCCUCUGCCCACAGGAAGACGGAGGUGCCAGGAGCCUCAGGGCAGCUCCGCACCCACGAAAAACGCUGGAAUGUUGGUGCUGUGCUGAAGCAAACACCUUCAUAUUUUACAUUUCCAUUGUGAAUCGUUCUGCUCUGCUACCUGAAAGGCUGAGCAAUCCGUUCUUCACACUAACAAAUGGGCAGAAACAGAGCACACCACCAUGCUGAAGAGCAACAGCCUUCCUCCUCCUGUGUGCCAUGCGAGGCCCCCUGGGCUUUGAGCAGCUUCUGAGGAUGCUCUGUUGCAGCAUUCCUUCAUUCCCAGCAUAAGUGCCUCCGUAGCACUGAGCUGCAGCUGCUGGGGGCUGCAUGGUGACGUGGCUGGAGGCAGCACUGCUGGGUUACAUCCUUCAGGACAGUCCUGAUGGGAUCGUUGGGGUCAUACCGAAUCUUUUCUCUGUGGGACGUGAUGGUUUCGUAGCACCAGAGGGAAGACAAAGCACUAUGAAAAUGGAGACUGCAGAGAAGGUCCUCAGGAGUGAAUGCAGGAAAUGCCUCCCCUUUGGAAAUCCCUCGGUCUGAUCCCAGGAGUGAGAACAGCGAGCUGCGACAGAGUGCUCAGAGCAUGGGAAGCCAUACAACUUGCAAGAGGUUAACAAAUUGAAUUGAAUAUAAAUAUGAAACUAACAUCCUCACAAUUGUAAGCAGCUGUGUAAGAAGCUAUACAGGUCACCUGUGGACAUAGGCCAAAACACAGAACAAAUGAGGCUUGUGCAAAUAUUCCUUACGUUUGUGGUCAUAUGCUUGUGUCUACAACAGCACCAGGUGGCACACAGAAUGAAGCUGAGCAGACAAAACUGAUUUAUUCAGAUGCCAGUGCUACCAAACUUACAUUCUUCAAAUAAAUUUAAAACUGUGCUGCUUCUGUGAGUGAUA